CUAUUCUACACGCUCUUUUUUUGUAUUGUAGAAUAAACAAAAAAGAUGUCCAGCCCUCUUUUGUGAAAAGAUGAAGUCCUUUUAUUGGCAAAACAGUAACGUUUCAACUGUGUGUCUAUCAAGCUAUGUCUUUCUUAUUUAUUUUUAGAUACUUAUUCGAGAGAGCGAAGCCGGAGUUGACCCUUAAAGGACCACUCUAGGCACCCAGACCACUUCAGCUUAAUGAAGUGGUCUGGGCGCCAGGUCCAGCUAGGGUCAACCCAUUUUUUUAUAAAC